AAUGAACGCUGGCGGCAUGCCUAACACAUGCAAGUCGAACGAGAGCACGAGAUCCUUUGUUGUCUGGUGUCGUAGGGGGUCGGAAGAGUAACACAUGUACAACAUACCUAUAAGACAGGGAUAACAUUGUUUGAUAAUAGCUCAUGCCGUAUAAUAUUUUGAACCGGGUGGGUCAAGAGUUAGAGCCGCUCGUGCGGUCGCUUACAGAUUAGUCAGGGCUGGAUCUGCUAGUUGGCAAAGUAACUGCUUACCAACGCUACGAUGGAUAGACGCCCCGAGAGGGAGAUCGGCCAGACUGGAACUGAGACACGGCCCAGACUCCUACGGGAGGAAGCAGUAGGGAAUCUUGCGCAAUGGGCGAAAGCCUGAUGGAGCAACGCCGCGUGAAGGAUGAAGGUCUUCGGAUGGUAAACUGCUGUUGUACGGAAAGAAAAUAUGCGGAUGUAUCCGUGCAGAUCAUGACGGUACCGAAAGAAUAAGCCCCGGCUAACUACGUG
rnacentral:rRNA from 1 species